AUAUAGUAUCUCAUCUGAGAUGAACUGAGUAGUUGUUUCCAGAUCAGGUAGUUCUCCAUAGUUUUUUUUCUAUUGUGCAUUAGGAUUGCCUCCAGCCUGAAGCAAGAUCUCCACCAAUUCCAGAACUCCAGAACUGACAGCAUAGGAUACAGCAGUCAACCCAUACUGAAUGUUGUGUUCAGCUGUGGCGUCACUAGGAUUGGUGUCCCCAGGAGCAGUUUGCAUAGAAUGUCACUCCUACCAUCAACUUUGCGCCCAAAAAUUCCCUGUGUGUCUGUCGACUGCGAAUUCUCGGCAGCAGCAACUCAAUAUCCGGUAUCAGGUUUUUCUGCCAGCAGUCUCUCCUCCCUCAAGAUGACAUCUCUGUGUUCCUCGGGAUGGUCAAGUUGGUUUUUGAUUAUGUCAUUAAGGAUGUGCUGUUGAGCGGCCACUAUGUUAAGUUGGAAAGACUGAAACGCCGUGGAAACUGGUUCAAGAACAGAUAACUAAUUAACGACAAUGAAAAGACAAUAAAAAACAAGAGGAGAGGCAUUUACUACACACAUGCAGUUUGUUUGGUUUCACUUGCAGUCGUUAUUUUAAGAUCCGCCAAACAGUCAAAGUUGAGACUUAAAUUUCGAAUGGAUUCGUAUUUUUCAGUUGAUUGUGUCUCACACAAAAGAGGUCAAUUUAGCACCAACGCUAUCGCUAGGGACAGUUACGAAAAAGAAUACUUGCCAUCAGGGGGCAGCCUUGGUCGAGUAUUUUGUCCAUGUCUAGACUGUACAAUGAUAA
rnacentral:sRNA from 1 species